AAGCAUAUCAAUAAGCGGAGGAAAAGAAACCAACAGGGAUUGCCCUAGUAACGGCGAGUGAAGCGGCAACAGCUCAAAUUUGAAAUCUGGCGUCUUCGGCGUCCGAGUUGUAAUUUGCAGAGGGCGCUUUGGCAUUGGCAGCGGUCCAAGUUCCUUGGAACAGGACGUCACAGAGGGUGAGAAUCCCGUACGUGGUCGCUAGCCUUUACCGUGUAAAGCCCCUUCGACGAGUCGAGUUGUUUGGGAAUGCAGCUCUAAAUGGGAGGUAAAUUUCUUCUAAAGCUAAAUACUGGCCAGAGACCGAUAGCGCACAAGUAGAGUGAUCGAAAGAUGAAAAGCACUUUGGAAAGAGAGUUAAAAAGCACGUGAAAUUGUUGAAAGGGAAGCGCUUGCAGCCAGACUUGCCUGUAGUUGCUCAUCCGGGUUUCUACCCGGUGCACUCUUCUAUAGGCAGGCCAGCAUCAGUUUGGGCGGUUGGAUAAAGGUCUCUGUCAUGUACCUCCUUUCGGGGAGAUCUUAUAGGGGAGACGACAUGCAACCAGCCUGGACUGAGGUCCGCGCAUCUGCUAGGAUGCUGGCGUAAUGGCUGUAAGCGGCCCGUCUUGAAACACGGACCAAGGAGUCUAACAUCUAUGCGAGUGUUUGGGUGUCAAGCCCGAACGCGUAAUGAAAGUGAACGGAGGUGGGAACCUUUCGGGGUGCACCAUCGACCGAUCCUGAUGUCUUCGGAUGGAUUUGAGUAAGAGCAUAGCUGUUGGGACCCGAAAGAUGGUGAACUAUGCUUGAAUAGGGUGAAGCCAGAGGAAACUCUGGUGGAGGCUCGCAGCGGUUCUGACGUGCAAAUCGAUCGUCAAAUUUGGGCAUAGGGGCGAAAGACUAAUCGAACUAUCUAGUAGCUGGUUCCUGCAUU
rnacentral:rRNA from 1 species